AUGCAGAUAUUUGUUUUGAUAUUCUUUGCUGAUAUGUUCUUUAUUUUGUUUACAUGUCUUCCUGUAAAGCCUGAGUUGUGGCAUAGUGGUUUACUCUUGCCACUGAAUUGUCCUGAAUCCUUCCUGCAGAGAGCAAGGGAUGAAGGAGAGACGAUACACCAGUGUGAGCUUCUGCUGCCUUCAAAAAUCAACAAGAGCCUUCCCAGGGCAAGGCCACAUCUAUCCUUUAAUUCAACUGUACUUCAAGUUGGGGCCCAAACUUACUAGUGAAGUAAGUGACAAACUCUUUUGCUGCCUUCAGCAAUGGUGUGCCUUGGAUUAUUAUAUACUAUGAGAUGUUAAGCGCUUUGAAAACUUAAGCAUCUGUGACCUGUUGAGCUCUGAGACGGCAUACAGAAGAGUCACAAGAUACCAAUCUGAUUACAUUUCUCACAUGGAUGUGACAAUGGUCUCUCUCUAUAUUGUUUCUAUGAUUAUUACAUAUCACCAGUGCAUCUUAAUACUCUGCUACUCUUGAAUUUUUUUUUGUCAUAAGAAUAGAUAUUUUCCACACUACUCAUUAUUUUUCCUCAGUUAAGAAACCCACUUGGUGUCAAAUUUAGAAAAUUUAGUCCGAGAACUCUGGUUUGUUUUCUCAUUUGGAUUUAUGUAUUUUCCAAUUCUUGCAAGUAAAGAUGCCAAAUGAAUCAGUAAACACAGUAGUCUAAAACUGUUAACAUAAUAUAACUAUUACUUUGUAUUCUCUUUUG
rnacentral:lncRNA from 1 species